GACGAACGCUGGCGGCGUGCUUAACACAUGCAAGUCGAACGAUCAAGAAAGGAAUCUGAUCUUCUGCAGAAAUUCAUUUCGGAUUAGUGGCAGACGGGUGAGUAACGCUUUAGCAACCGACCUCUUACAAAGGGAUAGCCUCGGUACACCGUGAUUAAUACCAUAUAACAUUUUGACGAAGCAUUUCGGUUCAAUCAAAGCUACUGCGUUGAUAGAUGCGCCCGCGCCGCAUUAACCGGAUGAUAAGGUAACGGCGCACCAAGGCAACGAUGCGGAACCGACCGGAGAGGGAGAUCGGCCACACUGGAACUGAGACACGGUCCAGACGCCGACGGGAGGCAGCAGUAGGGAAGCUGCCGCAAUGGGCGAAAGCGGGACGGAGCAACGCAGCGUGAGUGAUGAAGGUCUUCGGAUCGGAAAACUCUGUGAGUAGGGAAGAACAAAUGUGUAAGUAACUAUGCACGUCUGGACGGUACCUAAUCAGAAAGCCACGGCUAACUACGUG
rnacentral:rRNA from 1 species